AAACCAUGAUGAGGACAAAGUCUGAUCAUUGUAUUGUAUCGUUGCCAAGCGUCAUAUAGACUUUUGCCAUCAUACUGAGCAAACCUUGUGAUCUUAUCUCUAUAUUC